rnacentral:rRNA from 1 species
CCUACGGGAGGCAGCAGUGGGGUAUAUUGGGCAAUGGGCGCAAGCCUGACCCAGCAACGCCGCGUGAAGGAAGAAGGCUUUCGGGUUGUAAACUUCUUUUCUGCGGGACGAAGAAAGAGACGGUACCUCAGGAAUAAGCCACGGCUAACUACGUGCCAGCAGCCGCGGUAAUGCGUAGGUGGCAAGCGUUAUCCGGAUUUAUUGGGUGUAAAGGGCGUGUAGGCGGGAAAGCAAGUCAGAUGUGAAAACUGAGGACUCAACCCUGAGCCUGCAGUUGAAACUGUUUUUCUUGAGUGCUGGAGAGGCAAUCGGAAUGCCGGGUGUAGCGGUGAAAUGCGUAGAUAUACGGAGGAACACCAGUGGCGAAGGCGGAUUGCUGGACAGUAACUGACGCUGAGGCGCGAAAGCGUGGGGAGCAAACAGGAUUAGAUACCCGUGUAGUC